GGAAGUAAAAGUCGUAACAAGGUCUCCGUAGGUGAACCUGCGGAGGGAUCAUUACACAAUAAACAUAUGAAGGCUGCACCGCCAACAGGCGGCAAGGCUGGAGUAUUUUAUUACCCUUGUCUUUUGCGCACUUGUUGUUUCCUGGGCGGGUUCGCCCGCCUCCAGGACCACAUGAUAAACCUUUUUUAUGCAGUUGCAAUCAGCGUCAGUACAACAAAUGUAAAUCAUUUACAACUUUCAACAACGGAUCUCUUGGUUCUGGCAUCGAUGAAGAACGCAGCGAAAUGCGAUACGUAGUGUGAAUUGCAGAAUUCAGUGAAUCAUCGAAUCUUUGAACGCACAUUGCGCCCUUUGGUAUUCCAAAGGGCAUGCCUGUUCGAGCGUCAUUUGUACCCUCAAGCUUUGCUUGGUGUUGGGCGUUUUUUGUCUUUGGUUUUGUCCAAAGACUCGCCUUAAAACGAUUGGCAGCCGGCCUACUGGUUUCGCAGCGCAGCACAUUUUUGCGCUUGCAAUCAGCAAAAGAGGACGGCACUCCAUCAAGACUCUAUAUCACUUUUGACCUCGGAUCAGGUAGGGAUACCCGCUGAACUUAAGCAUAUCAAUAAGCGGAGGA
rnacentral:rRNA from 1 species